GCGCCUGUAGCUCAGGGGAUAGAGCGUUCGACUCCGAAUCGAAAGGCCGUGGGUUCGAGUCCCGCCAGGCGCACCA
rnacentral:tRNA from 1 species